rnacentral:rRNA from 1 species
UGAGGAAUAUUGGUCAAUGGGCGAGAGCCUGAACCAGCCAAGUAGCGUGCAGGAAGACGGCCCUAUGGGUUGUAAACUGCUUUUAUGUGGGGAUAAAGUGCGUGACGUGUCAUGCAUUGCAGGUACCACAUGAAUAAGGACCGGCUAAUUCCGUGCCAGCAGCCGCGGUAAUACGGAAGGUCCGGGCGUUAUCCGGAUUUAUUGGGUUUAAAGGGAGCGUAGGCUGUCUAUUAAGCGUGUUGUGAAAUGUAGGAGCUCAACUUCUAGAUUGCAGCGCGAACUGUCAGACUUGAGUGCGCACAACGUAGGCGGAAUUCAUGGUGUAGCGGUGAAAUGCUUAGAUAUCAUGAAGAACUCCGAUUGCGAAGGCAGCUUACGGGAGCGCAACUGACGCUGAAGCUCGAAGGUGCGGGUAUCGAACAGG